rnacentral:rRNA from 1 species
UACGGAGGGUGCAAACGUUGCUCGGAAUCAUUGGGCGUAAAGCGCACGUAGGCGGCUCAGCAAGUCGGGUGUGAAAGCCCUCGGCUCAACCGAGGAAGUGCAUUCGAAACUACUGAGCUUGAAUACUGGAGAGGAUCGCGGAAUUCCCGGUGUAGAGGUGAAAUUCGUAGAUAUCGGGAGGAACACCAGUGGCGAAGGCGGCGAUCUAGACAGAUAUUGACGCUGAGGUGCGAAAGCGUGGGGAGCAAACAGG